rnacentral:rRNA from 1 species
UACGUAGGGUGCGAGCGUUUAAUCGGAAUUACUGGGCGUAAAGCGCGUGUAGGCGGCUUGGCAAGUCGGUUGUGAAAGCCCGGGGCCCAACCCCGGAAUUGCAUCUGAUACUGCCUCGCUAGAGUCCCGGAGAGGAAGGCAGAAUUCCCGGUGUAGGGGUGAAAUCCGUAGAUAUCGGGAGGAAUACCAGCGGCGAAGGCGGCCUUCUGGACGGUGACUGACGCGUGAGACGGCGAAAAGCGUGGGGAGCAACAGG